AGAUCAAAGGAACUGCCAUCUACAAUUAUGAAGACAAUUGUGGCCUCUCUUCAAAGUUAGGAGAUGGACCAGAUGAAUACUUUUGUAGUAGGUGGCUGAGAUCCCUGGAACCAUGACAGAGUGUACAAGUUAUUACAAGAGCAGGGCAUGAGUUGACAGAAGCAUUGUGGAAAAACACAGCUGCAUAAUCCUAGAAAGUACCAGUGGCAGCCAUUAGAUUGUCACCUACAAAAGCGCGUAACCAGACGGGCUGGCAUUGUUCACAUGAAGGAAUACAAUGCACUGAAGCUACAUCGUGUUCCCUGGUGUGUUGGAGGUUUCAGAAGGGAUGUAGGGGGAGGAAGUCUGGGGACAGCUGUCCAGAAAUAUGGUUUCAGUGGCUAGCUUCUUUGGCUAAUGGAUGGUACUGUGGAUUGUCAUGCCUGUGAAUACCAUUUCCCUAGAUUGCAACACCAGCCCAAUUCUUUGGCUCUGCUGGAAGCCAUCCUAACAGAUGAUGAGGGAAUGAUGGGUAAGCCAGCCAGCCUGCAUGCUGAGUCACCCCAGGAAGGUAGUCCGUCAUCCGGCAAUUAGGACGGAGAAGAAGGAAGUGUGCCAGCAAAACAGGUUACUUGACAACAGCUUCUGGAACACCUUGUGGAACUACAGCACUCAGCUUGUCCUCCAUCGUCAUGGCCUUGCAGAGGGAUGGAUGGCUGCAUAUGCGAGUGCAUCUAAGUAAUAGACCAGUUCACUUUGAACACUGGUGUAAAACAAGGGCACGCUUGCUUUCUGUUUCUGUUUUGCAUUAUCAUACAUAGCUGCUAUGCAGGCAGCACAAGUAGCAGCCUACCAUGGGGUGGAUUACACAUACCUUGGAAGCAUAAACUGUGCUAGUAGCAUUGUGUUACUGAGCCAUAGACCUGAAAAAAGCUGUGAAGAUACAUAACCUAGUAAAAAAAAGCAAGAAGCCAAACAGGACACAAAAUCAGCCAUCAAAGCAAACAUCCCUGAAAUCUUAAUAUCAAGCAUCAAAGUCAUGUUAGAAAACACAAAUCCUGGGAAAGUAGAACAGAUUGCCUGUCCUGUCCAUAUCCCACUUCUGAGUAAUUAGGAAGGAACUGACAGCAAGGAUUGGGAAAGAAUUCCACCAUUUGUACUCAUUUCAGCAUAUAGAAAUGCAAGACAUUCAGUCCCAGAAUGAAACUUAGAUUUUAAAAAUUAUUAUUUACAUGUAAUUACAAUGCUAAAAUAGUCCCUGGAAAGUAGAGACAUCAAAGAUGCUAGAAAACUAGAUGCAUUGGAAAAAAGUGCCUAUGAAAAGUCUGAACACUGGGCUCUAUCCUCAGCAUAGAGUGGAACAGCCCACCAGCUCACCUUUCACCAGCCAGCAGGGAGCACAGGAUGUAUUUAGUGUGUGUUCUCGGAAUGGCAGCCCCCAAGAAUCCCCCACGAAACGAUCCUGUGUAGACCCGUGUGUGUGCAGCAGAGGAUGUUCAUUAGAGAUCUUAAGAAGAGCUACCUCACGGGACUGACAGUGAUCAAUCUCAACCGUGUCCACCAGAAACACCAACAAAGGACAGAAAGGAAUGGAAAACACUCAUUUCCACUGCAUGUCCCAGUCUUGCUAUUGGAAGAACACAGUAAGAAUAACAUAAGUGCUACUGGACAAUCAGAUACGUUCCCCAUAACUGCUUUGUUUUCUCUGUGAAGAAAAAGCCUGCCUUCGCUAGCUUGUUUUGUUAGCUGCCACUGGAGGUAAUAGUUGUGAACCUUACUGAAGGGGAGGAAAAUAAAGCUUUUGCUCUAGAGAUGAAGAGAGCAGCUGAUGUCCAGACUAAAGCACUCUGCCAAACACUUCAAGGAGCCAGGGGCCUGUUGCCAAGGCCGUGUGAUUGCUGCAGUCAUGAUAGACUGGGGAGAAAGUCCAUGCCAAGAAGAGUUGGCAGAAAAAAGAAAAAUGAAAACAAGCUGGAAAGAUGAAUUUCAUCAUGAUACCUCAUUUUCAUCAGCAGACUUAGAACUGCAAAAUAAGCGCAGAUUUCUGCUACUUGAGCUAAUGGAGUGCCACUACCAGUCACGUGUUAUCAUCCUCUGAAUAAAGCACUCCCAGGAGAGGAUCACUGAUGUGCACUGGUGAGAAACAUGAAUCAAGGAUUUGCUUCUGGGCUGGGGUGACAAGUAACCAGGUAGAUGUAUACUCCAGAUGCAAGCUAACCUGCUGCAUCUCCCCCAGCCUCUCACCAUCCUUGUCCUUUGCCUGCACCACUUCAUCCCAGACCCAGUGUCCUCCUACAGCAAUUCCCAGCUGUGGAGGAGACACGCAAGGAUCCCAGCUCCUGAUCUCCCAAUCUGAAUAGGUCUUUGCUCACUUCCAGUAUGACAUUCUUUGCUCCCAGCCUACUUGGCUGGACUGCCCUAACUCCCCAAUCCCUCCUCCUGGCCCUUAGCACAGCUCUGGUAUCCAGUAUGUCCAUGUGAGAUUUUCUCCACAGUGCAUUUGAACAACUCCAUCCUCUGUACUCAGAAUUUGAACAUUGGGGCUGCUGGGACCAGAGGAAGGCCAACUGCUGCUUUCAGUUUGGGUGCCUAGAGCUCUUAGGGCUCACGGUAGCAGAUGCCUAUCCAUAGCAAAUGGGACCUUUAGGAAAGUUUGCUGUUAAAAUCAAAGCCAUCUUUAUUAAAUGUGCACCGUAACUUUUCAUGCGCUUAUUUCAUGAGGAUAAAACCAACACAUCCCUGACACAAAUGCUAUUUUCUAUCAGAUUUUAAAUCGUUGUACCAAACUUGCAAGAUGUAGACUUUGUCAUGGAAGACACCAGAAUUUUUAAGCACAGCUCAUUUUCCCCUACAGUCUGUACGGCACGUCAGACAUGUCUGAGUUGUUUUACACUAGUUCCCCUUGAGAAUGUGUGUCAAAUAAAAAGUCCUGAAUUAUACAAUUUCAUAUUGUUUAGAUAGGACAACUGAGUUGAUACAUUUAAUCUCAUAAAAAGCAUUGUAAUAUCUUUAAUGACCACUAUACAAACUUUCAUUCCUUGGAGAAGAUAAGGAAUGUCCUUGCAAAUAAGAAAAAUUAGAUCCUGCUGUGCCAAGGCCUGUGCUCUAAAUAGUUCAAGGUGACCAGUGUACUGCUCAGCCUGUUACAUAAAGCAAUUUGUAAAGGUCAGUAAAAAUUAAAGACAAAAUGACAGUUUUUUCAAGAAAAGAGACACAAUGAUAAGCCCCAAGGACUAUGCUGAAAUGAUGUCCAGUAAAGAAGAAAAGUGUGAGACUAGAUUUAGCGGGGCAAAAUGGAUAUACUGUAGAGUAAGCGUUGCUGAUGGGUAAUAUCUUGAGUGGAUGGGCUAUUCCAUCUCUCUGGUGCCCCUAACCUUGUGAGUCAACUGCAAGGAUGCUUAAUUCAACCUAAACUACAGGAAGAUAGGUAGACAGUAGGAGCACAGCCUGGCAUGAUUGUAGUCAUAUGCCCUAUCCCCUGCAGCCAGUCCACCACACCUCUUUUGCACUGAGCAUUUCUAAUCAACAUAAAAGGACUGGGCCAGAAGGGGGAAUCCGGGUGGCCUCACACCUCCAUUUGCAUCGGCUAAAUGCUGAGCAACACCUGGAAUGAGACUGUCAUAGCCCCCUGGUUUGUACUUUUCCUUCCCUCCUUUGUUCUUUCCUUUUUCACAUGUGUUUGCUUUCUGUUUAAGAAGAAUCUUCUUGAGAUGUUAAAGCUAUGUCCUUUGAAGAGCUGCUGUGAUGCUGUUAAUCGACAGCUUCCAAAAAGCUAUGUUAGAGACAGCAGGGCACUGCUGCAAUUUCUGUGUUUCCCUGAGACCAACAGACAAUGUGCUGUGCUGGAGUUUUUCUAGCAAUGAACUUGCUAUUCAGAGCCAACACCAGAGUGAGAGGCUGAGUUCCCUUCCCCUGCAGUGCUUGUGCUGUCUUUGUCCCUUGUUCGAAUUGCCUGCCUCUCCAGGGAAGGACUGGGCUCUGACAACAGCUCCAGGAGCAGUUCCAGCCCGCCUCAGUGAACUGAACAGCUCUCUUUUCUGAAAUAAACCCAACCAUAAAUUGUCUUUCUUACUAUCGCUUUAAGCCUGUUAAACAAUGGUGUUUUCCUCACAUAGAUUCUUAACAGCAAAUGGAAACUGGAGGUUUUGUUAAAAUGAAAGCCUUACUUCUCUGCAUUCCACAUUUUAAUUCUUUUUUCUCCUUAUUUUUUCUGUCUUUAAUGAAGUGUUUAAAAGAUUUGGUGUGGUUCAUGUUGUCAUGGCAAUAAAUAAGCUAAGUUUUAUGCAUUUGAAACCCCAAACCCUAUCCCAAAAUGUGUCUAGCAAUAUAGUUUUGUUAUGGUGACACAGAACCUUUAAUACAUUUGACCCUCUGGGUCUAUUUAUUGUACUGAAAUUUGACUCAGCAAAGUUGAAUCCCCUUAUAUAUUCUGCAAGAAAAUUCAUUGUAUGUCUGGAUAUAAACCAAUUCACCUCCUAAGCUGCAUAAUCAACUCCCAUCCUAACAUGUCAGUUAGCACUAGUGCAGCUGAAUGGAAAAAUAAAUUGUGAUGGCUUUAUAGAAAUGUACUUAAUUUCUAUGGGAUGCCCGGUGAGUAUCAGAACAACAGAUGGUGUAUUAACUACUGUGUCUAUCAAUACUCUUUCCUUGUCUUAGGUAAUAUUUUUAUAUAAGGGGGUGGCAGCCUACUCUCAUUGUAUGAAGCAAAAUUCUUGAAUGGAUACCCUGAAGUAACCCUGGGGUUUUUAGCUUGUUUUCACUUGAUAUUUGGGAAACUGUUCUGUAAUGACAAGCUCUGGAACAAAAUCUAAAAGAGAGGGUAUUUUCUGUGUUUAAAAGGUUUCUCUGUAUGACUGCAAAUAAGAAAAUUAUACAAACAUCUUAUUCUCUAGUUAUUCCAUAUUGCCUAAUCAAUAUGGUUUACUCUUCCGUCUUGCUAUAUAGUCUUGUGUGCAGAUUUUAUUGUGUCUUUGUUUUGGUUUUUUUGUAUGUAUAUAUAUUUAUUAACAAACAAACCAGAGAAAUCAGCUGUUUAAGGAUGUGUUGGAGUGAACCACUCGCUACAGGAACAUUAUAUUUAUUUCCACGUUCAGGCUAUGGAAGGCUAGCCAGGGGAUACUUCUUUUCACCUAAACGGUGUAAGUCCAUUGGAAAAGACUUAGGGGUUGGUUAAAUAACACUUUUAUUUUAU